AUUGAACGCUGGCGGCAGGCCUAACACAUGCAAGUCGAGCGAGCGGCGGACGGGUGAGUAAUGCCUGGGAAUUGCCCAGUCGAGGGGGAUAACAGUUUGACACGACUUCUAAUCCCGCAUACGCUUUGAUUUCCCAGGUGGGAUUAGCUAGUUGGUGAGGUAAUGGCUCACCAAGGCGACGAUCCCUAGAUGGUCUGAGAGGAUGAUCAGCCACACUGGAACUGAGACACGGCCCAGACUCCUACGGGAGGCAGCAGUGGGGAAUAUUGCACAAUGGGGGAAAGCCUGAUGCAGCCAUGCCGCGUGUGUGAAGAAGGCCUUAGGGUUGUAAAGCACUUUCAGGGGGGAGGCGUUACUGACAGAAGAAGCACCGGCUAACUCCGUGCCAGCAGCCGCGGUAAUUC
rnacentral:rRNA from 1 species